UGAAGGUAAAAAGGUUUAUUACAGAAAGAUGUUUAAUACAGGAUAGAAUAAAGUAGGAUAGAAUAAUGAGAGCGCUCUGAAGCCCUUGUACUAAACCACUACUAUAUAUAUGAAACGCAGAGCAUGACAUAAUUCUGUGUACCGAUAAGAAGCAGUUUGAGGCAGUUCAAACAGGCUUUGUUUUAGGAUCUUGGACAGACAAACCUUGAACAGAAGAACAUGUUUGUGUCUCUGUAAGCAGAUAAGCAUUCUGUACUGAUCUCAGUGACAUGGCAUGGCCUUCUUAUGCGUUAUCUUCAGAUGAGAAUGAAAUAGAACAAGAACAAAACUAUUACAAAGUAAAAAUGAAUAAUUUCCCUCACAUUUCCCCCAUUUUAUCAUUACAAAAUAUGAUAACUAAAAUUAACAGAGAAAUUACUAUUCUAUGAGUACAUCAGAACUUCAGAAACCUUUCACGGUUCAACUGAAUUCAUCAUGAAACAGACAUAAUGAAACUGCUAAGGCUGUUUUUGCGGAUUUAAAGUAACCUGUCGUCAAGCAAGCUUAUCUUAGAGUGAAAUGAGAAUCGUCAUGGUCAAAGGAAUAUUUACAAUAGGUGUGAAAUGGAUGUCAAUUGGUCGUCAUCGUCAGUGUCGCUGGGAGGAUCUGAUACCCAGUCAGGUUUAGGAUACAAGUCAGAUUGGUCAUCAAAGACUCAGUCUUCGUCAACAUCAGCGUUUGGUCAUUAGUGAUUUCAACGAGUGUGAGAGACUGCUCCGAACGAGAGAAACGAUACAAGGCAAAAUGAGCAAGACAAGAAGAAUUAUUGCACCUAUUGGUAGACAGAUGGUUAAUAUCCAUGAGCCCCACCCCCCGAGUACUGAGUUCAGCCAAUCAAACCCCAUCUCGCUAGCCUGUGGAGGGUUGCGUAUCGCAGACCGCCUGUGUUCAAUGAUAGAAUAACCAUUAUGUGUCUGCAUGAUGAGGGGACGUGUGACGUUAUGUGGGUGUGUAUAUGCAGAGCUCAAUGCUUGGCUCUGGCACCCUCCUGCAGUGGCUCGCACACAUCCAUGUGGCUCUCUGGUUGACUUUCACUGCUGAAUGAGUGACAAAUAGAACCUGGAAUGGCCCAGACCACCGUGGCUUGUUCCACCUGGUCCUGCGGAAGUCCUUGAUCACGAUCUACUCUCCAGGCUUCAGAUCAUGCAGCGGACUCGUGGCUGGAGCUGGAAGUGCUGCCUUUACCUGCUUGUGGAUAGAGUGCAGAGCAGAGGACAGGGUUGCACAGUAAUUUAACAUUGCAUCAUCAUAUGCUGCAGCAUCAGGAAGAGGAACUGUCACAGGUCCAAUUCCUGUGUAUGGAGGUAUCCCAAACAGUAUCCCAAAGGUGCUAAGCCCAUCCUAAGCCUGUUUCAGAACAGCAUUUGCUCAGUCUGUUUUUUAGUGUCCCAUUUUCUCUCUCUACCGCCCCACCACUAGCUGGAUGAUAUGCACAGUGCUGCUUUAAUUCAAUACCCAAAUAUUCACCCACCUACUUAAGGGCAUGGCUCACAAAAGGUGUGCCAUGUCCUGUUUGAACGUAGGGACGUGGCCUUCUCUACCUUCAAACCUCAACCCAUGUUAUGAGUUGCACAAACUGUAAAGAUGGUCCCUGCCAUGCGUCAACUUUGAAGACAAGGACAGCUCUUGGGGCACCGCCAAACUCCGUCAACAACCAUGCAGCCUGCUUUGCGCCACACAGCCUUUUCCUUGUCCUUGUAGCCUGUGUUUGGAGGUCUGAAAGCUGUAAAGAAGGUGUGAUUUUUUUUUGUGUGUUUUGGGACCAUAGAUGCAGCUGCUUGCUUUGCUGCACUGUCCACUGAAACUUUCCUAGGAAAACAGGGUCUAAUUUGUUAGUAUGCGCAUCACAUUUGCAUACUGCAAUAGUUUUGGAGUAGGACUGCGUCCAGCAGCUCAGAGACUAGUUUGUGGUGGGCUAUGUGUGUUCCUGAACUCGUCAGGAAGUUCCUGUAUUUCCAAAUUGUCCCCAACUCAUGGACUACCUCAAAGGCAUAUCUACUGUCUGUGUAGAUAUUUACUGACUGUCCCUCAACAUGUUUUCAUGCCUCUAUGAGGGCAUACAGUUCAGCUGCUUGUGUUGAAAGGUUUGAGGGGAGACUUUCUGACAGACCGUCUCGUGUGCGGUUACUACUGCAUAGCCCACUCGAUUUUUACCUGUCUCUGGGUCACGUGACGCUGACCCAUCCACAAAGAGGAUCAGAUCUACAUUUUCCAAUAGAACACCUUUCAGGUCGACUCUAUGAGAGCAGAAUUCGUUGGUCAAUACGACACAGUCAUGUGGUUCUCCGUCUCCCUCUGUUGGAAGAAGAGUAGCAGGGUUAAGGACAGUACAUUGUUUCAUAGUGACUUUCUGCAUGUCUAGUAGUAUAGUGUUAUGGUGCAGCCACCAUUGAGUGGACAGGUGUGAGGUUUUCUGUUCAAGUAGGAGUAACAACACCUCAUGUGGAACCAAGAGGUUAAAUUCUGUGUAACCUACCAGAUCUCUGGAUGCCAUCACAGCUUUCUCAGCUGCUGCUACUGAACAUACCCAUGGGGGAAACUCUGUAGCAACUGGAUCCAACUUACCUGAGAAUGAGCUGUCCAACCUGUCACAUAUGCCAUCUCUCUGAGCGGUGCUUCUAGAAUGGUAUAGUUUAGAAUGAAAGUUCUGCGAUACAAACACAUACCUAGGAUAGAGAGAACCUGUUUCUUCAUCCGAGGCUUGGGAAUCUUUUGGAUUGCAGAUACUCUUUCAGUUGAGAGUUUCUUUCCCUUUGCAGAAAUGUCAUGCCUUAGAAAUCUCACUUCUUGUCGUACAUACUGUAAUUUGGAGAGACUGGCUUUGUGUCCUUCUUUGGCAAGAUGCUGCAACAAUUUAAUGGUGUCAGUUUCACACUGUGCCCUGGAGAAAGUGGUAGAGGUGCUAAGCUGUCCUUUAGCAUUUGGUUGUAUAUCGUUAGUGACUCUCCAUCCAUCCAUCCAUCCAUCCAUCCAUCUUCUAUACUGCUUAUCCUUCCUUCAUGGUCACGGGGAAACCUAGAACCUAUCCCAGGGAGCAUGGGGCACAAGGCGGGGUACACCUUGGACAGGGUGCCAAUCCAUCGCAGGGCACAAUCACAUACACAUUCACAAACCCAUUCAUACACUACGGAUACUUUGGACAUGCCAAUCAGCCUACCAUGCAUGUCUUUGGACUGGGGGAGGAAACCAGAGUACCCGGAGGAAACCCUGGCAGCACGGGGAGAACAUGCAAACUCCGCACACACGGGGCCACGGUGGGAAUGUUAGUGACUCUCAAUUCCCUUAAACACAAGCGAGUGAAAGUGUAAGGACAUCCAUCAAAUAUGAAUGCAAACUGAAACUGUAUGUCUUUAUCAAGAGAUAUACUUUUUAAAAAUGCAUUAGCUAAAUCUACGACUGAAAACGAUUCGCUAUUUGCUGGAACCUGGCUUAAUAUAGUGUAAGAAUUUGGCAUGUCUGGAGCUCUCAGUUUGACUGCUGCAUUAACUGCUUGCAAAUCUUGUACAAAUCUCCAUUCAUCUGGUUGUGGGGGUUUUCUUGCCUUCUUUACCGGAUAUAUUGGAGUGCGCACUGACAAAUCAAGGCAGGGAACAAUGACCCCUACCUUCAAUAAUGAAUUGAAAUCUGGUCCAAUGCCCUCAAUAGCUUCUGAUUUAAGAGGGUAUGGAGAUUGUCUGGGCCUAAAGUCAGAUUUGGGAGUGAUCACGACUGGUGGUGCACUUUUAAAUCAGGCCUACGUCAUGUUUCCCUUGGGCCCACAGCCCGAGAGGCACCUUCUUCAAUUGUGGGUGUGUCUCUAGGGGUGUGGGGCUCGUUCCAAGGUUCAGAAACAUUCUAUUUUCAUGACAAACCUCCCGGUUAACCUUGCACAUUUCCAGAAAGAAUUUUUUUUAAAUAAAUUCCCAGCGUCAGGCUGUACCACAUGUUGGAGGUGGGCUUCUGUUCCCAAUGUGUAAUUUUCCCACUCUCAUAUAAUCUGACCCACAGCCCUACGUCUUUCUACUGUUUGUUCUUUAUUUUGGUUAAUGAGACGUGAGGCGCUGAUUCUGGGACAAAAAAUGCACGCAACUGCAUGUCACUCAAUUUGACUGGACAUGCACAAAAUUUUUCCAGCAACAUAGGUACAGCUCUUCGCUUUCUGGGAAAUCCAUAAACCAUUCUUUCUCAAAAUUAAAGUCUCUUUCUUCAUGCACUUGCGCUGUGCAAUGAAGGGCAGAGGACAGCAUAAAAUCUACAUAGUUGUCCUUCAUCUUAUCAUGUGCCAACGUCAACAAACGAGCACAUGCUCUAGGCUUGUUAUGCUUGGACCAUUGAUAAACACAGAGCUCUGUUUCUUUAACAAACAGAGUUACAAUGAUGAGUCAUCAUUUCUUCUUACUCCCUGAGGUGAGGACAUAAAAUUUAAGUGUAAAACACACAUUAAGUCUCUGCCCAGUAGUUGUCUGGACAUGAAGACAAAAUUAGGUCUAAUACUGUGCAGUGACCGUGAACUCGUUAUCGGGGUUUCUUUUAAUUCGCAGUGUUUUAUUACUGAAUACGUUGCUCCCGAUUCUACCAGAAAUGUGACACUUUGCCCAAACCUUAAGAAUGUAAAAGUGUUUACCUGUGAGGGCGAGUCCACAUACAGCAAUUUGGUAGGACUUACAGUUUUCUCUUUCCUUCUUUAAAAUAAUAAUAAUAAUAAUUAUAUAUAUAUAUAUAUAUAUAUAUAUAUAUAUAUAUAUAUAUAUAUAUAUAUAGAUAGAUAGAUAUAUAUAUAUAGAUAUAUAUAUAUUUAAAUCUCAGUAGAAUUUACUUGUGGGUUAAAUUUAAUAAAUAUAUCACGUACCGCUGAUAUGAUGGAAUGAGUCAAUGGGGCCUGACACGUAAUAAUAACCCACCGCAAAAAUACUGCUCCUCUUGCGCUUCUUAAUAAGUACUCUCUCUACUUAUUCAUUGCUCGAACCGGACUCUUUCCGUUAGCAACUAUUUUUUCACCGUUAUUAUCUCUCUCUCUGUAUAUAUACCCGUCUGUAUAUAUCUUAGUUUUGAAGCUGUGAUCUAAGAAACACUGAUAUUUCUGCCGUCACAGAGGCAAAGUUCCUGAACUUCUUAUAAGAAAUCACUCCAUGUAAUACUUCUCUCUCAAUGUAAUACACACAUUUCUUAUAUCAUUGACUCCCUUCCACACAGACAGCAAUACACAAUGACAUCAUAAAAUUCUAAUUCUAAAUCAUUGACGCCCUUCCACACAGACAGCAAUACACAAUGACAUCAUAAAAUUCUAAUUCUAAAUCAUUGACGCCCUUCCAUAGAGACAGCAAUACACUAUGACAUCAUAAAAUUCUAAUUCUAAAUCAUUGACUCCCUUCCAUAGAGACAGCAAUACACAAUGACUUCAUAAAAUUCUAAUUCUAAUUCUAAAUACUUGAUGAUUCCUACCAGUCAGGGGUAAUGCGAUAUUUCGCUCGGCACAAUAAAGGACAAAUCGCCUUUGCGUCAACAUGGACUUCAGGAUGAAACUUUUCCACGAGCGUCCUCCGGUUUGCUUGUUGUCCAGUAAAGCUGAAAGACUCACGCAGCCCAGCCAGGAGAAGCCAAAUUGUCGUGGAAUUAGACAACACUUGCAGACUCAUCCUCUGAAGAAAGAUGCUCGCCAGCAGGGGGCGGCGUAGGACAAUAAGCAGAACCUCCAAGCUGUUCAACAUGGCCACAGGAUGGCACACAGCCCAACGCGGGAAACUGGAUCGCCACGUGAAACGCGCCAAUCACGGCAGUUGAAGCACGCGGGUUUUCGAUGUGUAACGAAUAUCGCAGAUAUCGAAAAUAAACUGACACGAAUAUAACAAUAUUACUAAUUUCAUUAAACAUAUUGCCAUAAAAUGUGGUAGAAAACAACAGUCAAGUGACAACUUUUUAAUCGCAGCAUCUAAAGUUGGAACCUUCAUUAAAUGUUUGCAUAAUAGAAUAAAGACUCGUUAUGGUUUAAAUGAGUCAUUGCACAAAAACAAAAAUGCUGUUUUGACGUUUUCUACAUGGCUGUCAUGACAAUGUCGCCAUGUUUGUGCUCGCGCUCUUUUCCUCCCUCCUCCUCCUCCUCGUCCCUCCCUCAGUCUGACUGUAGUGUGCUUCGCGCGCGCUUUUCUCCUCAGCCCCUCCCUCGUCUUUGAGGGGGAAAUGGGCGUGGCCAGAGAGUAUGCUUCAGAAAAUUCUAGAGCAGAAAAAAAUGGAGGACUGUAUACUCACCAUUUUACAUAUGAUACAAUUCAGCUUUUCACUUUAUAUAUAUUCUUCAGCCCCUAUGUUUAGGACUAUUUUGUUGUUUUCUUAUGCAUGUAAAUUCACAUACUCAACUGCACUUAAAAAAAACAAAAAAACAACCUUUUUUUUUUUGCUUUUUGUUGUUCUUUUU
ensembl:lncRNA